GGAUGCAUAGGCAAAUGGUUAAGCCAGCGGUCUGUAAAACCGUAGCCUUCGGGCUUCUUGGUUCGAAUCCAAGUGUAUCCA
rnacentral:tRNA from 2 species